rnacentral:rRNA from 2 species
UACGAAGGGGGCUAGCGUUGCUCGGAAUCACUGGGCGUAAAGGGCGCGUAGGCGGCCAUUCAAGUCAGGGGUGAAAGCCUGUGGCUCAACCACAGAAUUGCCUUUGAUACUGUUUGGCUAGAGACCGGAAGAGGUAAGUGGAACUGCGAGUGUAGAGGUGAAAUUCGUAGAUAUUCGCAAGAACACCAGUGGCGAAGGCGGCUUACUGGUCCGGUUCUGACGCUGAGGCGCGAAAGCGUGGGGAGCAAACAGG